GACGAAGGGGGCUAGCGUUGUUCGGAAUUACUGGGCGUAAAGCGAGUGUAGGUGGUUGUCCAAGUUGGAUGUGAAAGCCUUGAGCUCAACUCAAGAAAUGCAUUCAGGACUGGGCGGCUAGAGGACCGGAGAGGAUAGUGGAAUUCCCAGUGUAGUGGUGAAAUACGUAGAGAUUGGGAAGAACACCAGUGGCGAAGGCGGCUAUCUGGACCGACACUGACGCUGAGGCGCGAAAGCGUGGGGAGCAAACAGG
rnacentral:rRNA from 1 species